GAAAUGCGAUACGCAAUGCGAAUUGCAGAAUUCCGCGAAUCAUCAGAUUCUUGAACGCAACUGGCGCUGGAGGGAUAUCCUUCCAGCAUGUCUGUUUCAGUGUCUGAAAACAUCCUAAUUCAUUCUAAUGUGUUUGACAAGGAAUAAAUCAUAUAUAUCAAUUGAUAUUAUAUUUAUCUUCCAAGUCUUACAUGAAAGAUGUAUGUGUGGGUCUUUGGAUCCAUCGAAUUGGUCAUCGAUUUCUUCGGUGAUUUCGAUUGGAUAUUCACCAAUUACUCGUAUACACAUAGAAUAAAAAUAUAUAUAUAUUUAGAUAUAUAAGCUUCUUUAUCAUCUGCAUCUGAAAUCAGGCAAGAAAACCCGCUGAACUUAAGC
rnacentral:misc_RNA from 1 species